UACAGAGGGUGCGAGCGUUAAUCGGAAUUACUGGGCGUAAAGCGUGCGCAGGCGGUUUGCUAAGACCGAUGUGAAAUCCCCGGGCUCAACCUGGGAACUGCAUUGGUGACUGGCAGGCUAGAGUAUGGCAGAGGGGGGUAGAAUUCCACGUGUAGCAGUGAAAUGCGUAGAGAUGUGGAGGAAUACCGAUGGCGAAGGCAGCCCCCUGGGCCAAUACUGACGCUCAGGCACGAAAGCGUGGGGAGCAAACAGG
rnacentral:rRNA from 1 species